ensembl:lncRNA
UAAAUAAUAAUAAUAAAAAAGAUUUAUUCCGAACUUUUACCCAGCAGUAUAUAUUUGUUAAACAAGGUAGCCUUACAUUUAUUCACCAUUUCAAUCAUUUUAUGCAACAAAGAUUUAUAAAGUAAAAUAUGAUUACAAAAACAUGCUGACUUCAAUGGGUCACAUAAAAUUUUAUAUAUAUCAUAUUUGUGAUAUAUUUUGUCACUCCCAAUUAAAUUACACUCAAAACCAGUACAUGCUCUGAUUGUUCAUUCCAAUAUUGUUACCAAGAAAUGACAGCCAUUCUAACCAGCCUGCUUUGCAGCACACCAGUAGCCAUGUGGACAUAUUGGAGUACACUUUACAGAUGGAGCUGGAAUGCACAAGAUGACAGAUCAAGACUUCUCCCUUUAUUGACUGUAACUGACAUCUUCAUCCGAUUGCCGGCAUCUCUCCUUCCUCCAUUGUUGGUGCUCUCAUCUGUGGUGUUUCCACACGGUUGCGUGGCGGUGCGCUGGGAUUUCACAGCAUUCUGACUCAAGCUGACACUGUGACAGGCGAGCAGGUGGGAGAAAAGCGCACUAGUCAUUCUCAGACAGAAAGUGCAAUAAAGGGGAGCUUAUCGAAAAGCCCCAUCAUGGCAGAAACAUUCCUUUAAAUGAAAUGAGUUGAAUGCAACUUUGCAGCAAAGGGGGAGAGGAAAAGAAAAUAAAAAUGCUAAGUAUUCAACAUUCACUCCAUUAAAUCCUGGCGUGUUUGUGCUUUCUCAGCUAGCUUGCACAACUUAAUUAAAUCCCAUCUUGUUUUCGAGUGCAUCUGAAUAUGAUUUAUUUCAAUAAGGGAGAGGCAAGAGCUACAACAGACUUUAUAAAUAAUAAUUUCUGAUAUCAAAACAUUACCGUGCCUAAGAUUUGGGAUCUUCUGCUCAGUGCUGAGAAAGAAAAAAAUCUAACGAAUAAUAAAUAGCUUACAUUUAUCUUGUAGUUGUAGGCCUAAACACCUUUUUGUUGUAGGCCUAACUCAUGUUUUCAUUAAUGCAGAUUUUUUUUUUUACACAAUUCCAGAUUUAAGUUCAAGUUCAAAGUUCAUCUAUAUAACCUGCUGACUACAAGCACAGCUGAGAGUAACUGAUCACAUGUAA